GACGUAGGGCGCGAGCGUUGUCCGGAUUUAUUGGGCGUAAAGAGCUCGUAGGCGGUCUGUCGCGUCGGCUGUGAAAACCCGAGGCUCAACCUCGGGCCUGCAGUGGGUACGGGCAGACUAGAGUGCGGUAGGGGAGAUUGGAAUUCCUGGUGUAGCGGUGGAAUGCGCAGAUAUCAGGAGGAACACCGAUGGCGAAGGCAGAUCUCUGGGCCGUAACUGACGCUGAGGAGCGAAAGCGUGGGGAGCGAACAGG
rnacentral:rRNA from 1 species